UACGUAGGGGACAAGCGUUGUCCGGAUUUACUGGGCGUAAAGGGCGCGUAGGCGGCCGCCUAAGUCAGACGUGAAAUCCCUCGGCUCAACCGGGGAACUGCGUCUGAUACUGGGUGGCUUGAAUCCGGGAGAGGGAUGCGGAAUUCCAGGUGUAGCGGUGAAAUGCGUAGAUAUCUGGAGGAACACCGGUGGCGAAGGCGGAUCUCUGGACCAGUUCUGACACUGAUGAGCGAAAGCCAGGGGAGCAAACAGG
rnacentral:rRNA from 1 species